CUGGAGGCCGCUCUGCUGUGCAGCCAGUGCUUGGGGACUGGUAUUUCCUGCACAUCCCAGAAAUUUCCUGCGCUCUGGUAGGAACUGAGGGAGACCCUGGGGAUAGAAAUUGCUGCUGUAUGGGAAGCUCAGCUAAACCACAUUUCAGUACUGCCGUGCCACCUGCUGUUGUACUCCACACUGUUUAGUGUUGAGGUUCAACCAGCAAUGAGGUGAGCAUACAUCCCAGAGACUUGCACAGGAACAUGAGCACGUGUAGAACACACUGGUAUGGCCAUCUGCACCGACUGCUGCCAAUAAGAUAAUGCUUUCAACAACACCCACUGCGCAUUCCAGGAUUCCAAUAAAAUGGAUGUGGUAUCACAAGCACAGGAAAUGCAAUAGGAACAGAGGCACACUUCAGGCUGGACUUCUGCUGUCACAGAUUCCUGCUGAGGUCCGGUACCAGCAGGCCGCCACUCUCACAGUGCUGCAGUUGCAAAGGAGGAGUGCUGAUUGCUGGAGGUUUGGGAGCAGCUGAGCAGCCCUUCAAUUCCGUUUUCCUUCUGAGGGAGACUGAACAUGGCUUUCGGUGGCAGAUUGUAGAGACACAGCCUCCUCUCACCCCAAGGUAAGCAGAAGGCAUUGAGCAGUGCAUUCUAGGCCUGCCUCUAGCUGUCUCUCCUUCCUAAUAGAAUACAAUGGAAUGUUAAACUGGCAGGUGUUGGCAUACUGCACAUGUGCACGAGG
rnacentral:lncRNA from 1 species